UUUUACCAAAAGCAUAUGAGAAAUCCCGCAACUACUAAAAUCUGACGCUACUCCAUUUUUGUUUAUGUUUUGUGAAGGAGGAAGUUGGGCUCAUGUUUUCUUCUGUGAUUUUCGUGUCACUUCCUGUAGUACUUCUUGGUGCAGCAGCUGUCAGGAUCUGGAUUUAUAAAAGUGUCUCUCCCCAUUGGCUCCCUGCUGGGAGCGGCCUGGAGCAGAGCUGCACACCUGCAGCUUGUUGGGAUCUUCACCCAGAGAGGAUUUAAGGAGCUUCCAGACCUCACCUGUCCACUGGAUGAUUACUCUUUCAUGGAAUAAGCCAGACCUCCAAACCUGUAAUCCCACCUGCAGCUCUGAACCUCACCUGCCUGCCCGCUCCAGCCAACAGUUCAUUCUUGCCGGAGAAACUUGCCUCGGACCUCCCGAUUGGUUGCCUGGCUCCAUCCUACUCCUUCCUCCUCCCCCGUUGAGAAGUUAAUUUCUCCUGCUGUCCACCCCUCGCACAGUCAUUGACCUGUCUCUCAGCUUCCAGAUAAACCCCGAGCCCGAUCCAAAGAAUCACCUGCAAGACACCUGUGCCUGUACAUUUUGUAAAUAAAUUCUUAACUUCCCAGGUCUGAUUCUGCAUGUGGGUCAGAAGCCUACCCUCGAACAUGACAGCGGCAGCACAGGCGCGGGGGUAAGCAGGUAUUUCAAAGGGUUUGGACUGUUUUAUGCAGUGCAGUGUGAAAGCUGAACAUGUAACAAAUGUUGCAAACAUUCUAAAACUACAGGACACCGGCCUUUAAGGACUAGCAUUGAGACCGCAGUUAUAAGAAGUUCCAAAGCAGUUUUGAGUAAAACCAUUCUGGUUGCAGCUGGCAUGCUGAACCUGCCAGCUGCAACUGUUUUAUUUUGUUGAAUUAUUUGCUAUUCAGCUGAGUUGUACGUCACAUUGUAUUAUUCAAUGUGCAUUCAUUUUUAACACCAUAAAAACGUGGCAUUUUGGCAAGGAUGUAUAGACUUUUGAGAGUCACUGCAGCAUGUGAUGGAGUACAUCAUGUAGUGGGACUGCAUAAACAAACAACUUCCCCUUCCCAAAAACACCAGUUGGACCAUGUGUGGAGGGAUAAU